GAUGAAUGCUGGCGGCGUGCCUAACACAUGCAAGUCGAGCGGCAGCGAGGGGUGCUUGCACCCCGUCGGCGAGCGGCGAACGGCUGAGUAACGCGUAGGAAUUUGCCCCAAAGUGAGGAAUAACUGCCCGAAAGGGUAGCUAAUGCCGCAUAUGGUCUUCGGAUUAAAGGAUUUAUCCGCUUUGGGAGAAGCCUGCGUUGGAUUAGGUUGUUGGUAGGGUAAUGGCCUACCAAGCCGACGAUCCAUAGCUGGUCUGAGAGGAUGAUCAGCCAGACUGGAACUGAGACACGGUCCAGACUCCUACGGGAGGCAGCAGUGAGGAAUCUUCCACAAUGGGCGAAAGCCUGAUGGAGCAACGCCGCGUGAAGGAUGAAGGCCUUCGGGUUGUAAACUUCUUUUAUGAGUGAAGAAUAUGACGGUAACUCAUGAAUAAGCACCGGCUAACUACGUGCCAGCAGCCGCGGUCAUACGUAGGGUGCAAGCAUUAUCCGGAGUGACUGGGCGUAAAGAGUUGCGUAGGCGGUUUAAUAAGUGAAUAGUGAAACCUGGUGGCUCAACCAUACAGACUAUUAUUCAAACUGUUAAACUCGAGAAUGGUAGAGGUAACUGGAAUUUCUUGUGUAGGAGUGAAAUCCGUAGAUAUAAGAAGGAACACCGAUGGCGUAGGCAGGUUACUGGGCCAUUUCUGACGCUAAGGCACGAAAGCGUGGGGAGCGAACCGGAUUAGAUACCCGGGUAGUCCACGCCGUAAACGAUGGAUACUAGCUGUUGGAGGUAUCGACCCCUUCAGUAGCGAAGCUAACGCGUUAAGUAUCCCGCCUGUGGAGUACGGCCGCAAGGCUAAAACAUAAAGGAAUUGACGGGGACCCGCACAAGCGGUGGAUUAUGUUCUUUAAUUCGAUGAUAACCGAAGAACCUUACCAGGGCUUGACAUCCAGGGAAGGUCUGCGAAAGCAGACUGUGCCUUUUGGAACCCUGUGACAGGUGAUGCAUGGCCGUCGUCAGCUCGUGUCGUGAGAUGUUAGGUUAAGUCCUUCAACGAGCGCAACCCUUGUGAAUAGUUGUAUUUUUCUAUUCAGACUGCCCCGGUAAC
rnacentral:rRNA from 1 species